ensembl:lncRNA
AAAAACGACAGUGUUACCCCUUGUGUUUUUUUUCAUGACGACCAAUAAAAAACGACAGUGUUACCCCUUGUGUUUCAAUUGUUAAAUAUCGACAGAGAGUUUUACCCCUUAUGUUUCAUUUGAUAAAAAUGACAGUGUUACCCCUAAUGUUUCAUUUGAUAAAAACGACAGUGUUACCCCUUAUGUUUUUUUUCAUGACGACCAAUAAAAAACGACAGUGUUACCCCUUAUGUUUUUUUUCAUGACGACCAAUAAAAAACAACAGUGUUACCCCUUAUGGUUUUUUUCAUGACAACCAAUAAAAAACAACACUGUUACCCCUUAUGGUUUUUUUCAUGACGACCAAUAAAAAACAACAGUGUUACCCCUUAUGUUUUUUUUUCAUGACGACCAAUAAAAACAACAGUUGUUACCCUUUAUGUUUUUUUUCAUGACGACCAAUAAAAACAACAGUGUUACCCCUUAUGUUUUUUUUUCAUGACGACCAAUAAAAAACGACAGUGUUACCCCUUGUGUUUUUUUUCAUGACGACCAAUGAAAAAA